rnacentral:misc_RNA from 1 species
AGUUUUUUCAUGAGGGAGUAACUGACAGUAUUUAUGCUGUGACAACAUCACCAACUCCGAAAGCAAUUUCUGGUGUUGUCUUAAACGGUGAGACUUAUGUAUGUUCG